rnacentral:rRNA from 1 species
CACGUAGGCGGAUAUUUAAGUCAGGGGUGAAAUCCCAGAGCUCAACUCUGGAACUGCCUUUGAUACUGGGUAUCUUGAGUAUGGAAGAGGUAAGUGGAAUUCCGAGUGUAGAGGUGAAAUUCGUGGAUAUUCGGAGGAACACCAGUGGCGAAGGCGGCUUACUGGUCCAUUACUGACGCUGAGGUGCGAAGGCGUGGGGAGCAAACA